UACAUGAAGAUCUCAAAUACACUAAGCUACCGUUUGGUUCGGGGUUAAGGAAAAACUAGUUAUUUCAGGGAUAGGGUUAAGUUCAGGGUUAAGGUGGGGUUAGAGUAUUUUUGUGUUUGGUUGGGGGUUGGAGUUAGUCAAGAAUAGUGAAAAAUAGUGUUUGGUUGGAGUAUGUGGGAUAAGAAGGAUGGUGGGUUAUUAUGAAUAGAAAAUAGUAUUUGGUUGGGGUUUGGAGGGGUUAGGUGGGGUUAGCUAACCCGGGAUAGCCCAUUUG
rnacentral:lncRNA from 1 species